rnacentral:rRNA from 1 species
GACGUAGGGCGCGAGCGUUGUCCGGAUUUAUUGGGCGUAAAGAGCUCGUAGGCGGUUUGUCGCGUCGGCUGUGAAAACUCGGGGCUCAACCCCGAGCCUGCAGUCGAUACGGGCAAACUUGAGUGCGGUAGGGGAGACUGGAAUUCCAGGUGUAGCGGUGAAAUGCGUAGAUAUCUGGAGGAACACCGGUGGCGAAGGCGGCCAACUGGACGAGUACUGACGCUGAGACACGAAAGCGUGGGGAGCAAACAGG